AUGUUACCAUUUUUAUUAGUUAUUAGUAUCCUGCAUCUCAAACCCACAGGAGCUGUGGGAGGUGUGAGGAGCCGGGGCUGCAGGGAUGCAGGGUGGUCCCAGGGAGCGUGUGGGCAGAAGACACAGCGGAGGCCUCGCCGCUCUCGCCCUCCCCUGGAUCCGAAGCCCUCAGCUUCAGGAGGCAGAGGAGCCGUUAAUAGGAAAACAACGCCGAUGGUUUGUUACUUUUCUCGUUGCUUCAUAAAAGAGCAGGGAACCAAACUGUCAGUGUGGAACCAGUGGAACCAAUCCAGCAGCGACGGAUUUCUUCCAUUUUCAGCCUCGUAUCUUUGUAAACCACCCCGGCACCAAAUGCAGAGAUUAAUAUGUACCACAGUCGGAACAAUGGGUCUUCGUGGGCAGCCCGUCCCUCCCGUGGAGCGCGUGGCCGAGGAGGGGUCCGAGGAAGGGCUGCGUCUCUAACCUGCAGGCCUCCUGGGGGACGACGUGUUUGCUUUGGCCCAUAAAUCAGUCCCACGGAUCACUUCGGGAAUCGUUAGGCUUUAUCAUGACGCGUUGCCACCUUUGAGGGAAUAAUUGCCCAGUUUGGCCAACUUGGGACCUGCUUCCUUCAUCUUAAUUUCCUCUCUGGGGAUGCCCUAAUUAGUAUUUACUUUCACUUAAAAGAGAGAAAUUUCUUCUGAUGCAAUCAACAGUUUCCCUUGCGUGCCAAGCUUGUUUUAUGAUAUUAAGCAUUUAAAUAAAAAAUUAUAAACGUACCGUGAAAUGCUGAUGGGG
rnacentral:lncRNA from 1 species